rnacentral:rRNA from 1 species
UGGGGAAUAUUGGACAAUGGGGGAACCCUGAUCCAGCAAUGCCGCGUGUGUGAAGAAGGCCUGAGGGUUGUAAAGCACUUUCAGAGGGGAGGAGGACUAUUAGGUUAAGAGCUAGAUAGUUGGACGUUACCCUCAGAAGCAGCACCGGCUAACUCCGUGCCAGCAGCCGCGGUAAUACGGGGGGUGCAAGCGUUAAUCGGAAUUAUUGGGCGUAAAGGGUGCGUAGGUUGUUUGAUAAGAUAUAUGUGAAAGGCCUGGGCUUAACCUAGGAACUGCAAUUAAGACUGUCCAUCUAGAGUUGAGUAGAGGGGAGCGGAAUUUCCGGUGUAGCGGUGAAAUGCGUAGAUAUCGUGGGGAACACCAAAGGCGAAGGCAGCGCACUGGCCAAAAUCUGACGCUCACACACGAAAGCUAGGGUAGCGAAGAGGAUUAGAUACCCCCGUAGUCCCUGAGCGGGCUGGCAAGGCGCAU